rnacentral:rRNA from 1 species
GAUGAACGCUGGCGGCGUGCCUAAUACAUGCAAGUCGAACGCUUUGUGGUUCAACUGAUUUGAAGAGCUUGCUCAGAUAUGACGAUGGACAUUGCAAAGAGUGGCGAACGGGUGAGUAACACGUGGGAAACCUACCUCUUAGCAGGGGAUAACAUUUGGAAACAGAUGCUAAUACCGUAUAACAAUGACAACCGCAUGGUUGUUAUUUAAAAGAUGGUUCUGCUAUCACUAAGAGAUGGUCCCGCGGUGCAUUAGCUAGUUGGUAAGGUAAUGGCUUACCAAGGCGAUGAUGCAUAGCCGAGUUGAGAGACUGAUCGGCCACAAUGGGACUGAGACACGGCCCAUACUCCUACGGGAGGCAGCAGUAGGGAAUCUUCCACAAUGGGCGAAAGCCUGAUGGAGCAACGCCGCGUGUGUGAUGAAGGGUUUCGGCUCGUAAAACACUGUUGUAAGAGAAGAAUGACAUUGAGAGUAACUGUUCAAUGUGUGACGGUAUCUUACCAGAAAGGAACGGCUAAAUACGUGCCAGCAGCCGCGGUAAUACGUAUGUUCCAAGCGUUAUCCGGAUUUAUUGGGCGUAAAGCGAGCGCAGACGGUUAUUUAAGUCUGAAGUGAAAGCCCUCAGCUCAACUGAGGAAUUGCUUUGGAAACUGGAUGACUUGAGUGCAGUAGAGGAAAGUGGAACUCCAUGUGUAGCGGUGAAAUGCGUAGAUAUAUGGAAGAACACCAGUGGCGAAGGCGGCUUUCUGGACUGUAACUGACGUUGAGGCUCGAAAGUGUGGGUAGCAAACAGGAUUAGAUACCCUGGUAGUCCACACCGUAAACGAUGAGUGCUAGGUGUUUGAGGGUUUCCGCCCUUAAGUGCCGCAGCUAACGCAUUAAGCACUCCGCCUGGGGAGUACGACCGCAAGGUUGAAACUCAAAGGAAUUGACGGGGACCCGCACAAGCGGUGGAGCAUGUGGUUUAAUUCGAAGCAACGCGAAGAACCUUACCAGGUCUUGACAUCCCUUGACAACUCCAGAGAUGGAGUGUUCCCUUCGGGGACAAGGUGACAGGUGGUGCAUGGUUGUCGUCAGCUCGUGUCGUGAGAUGUUGGGUUAAGUCCCGCAACGAGCGCAACCCUUAUUACUAGUUGCCAGCAUUCAGUUGGGCACUCUAGUGAGACUGCCGGUGACAAACCGGAGGGAGGUGGGGAUGACGUCAAAUCAUCAUGCCCCUUAUGACCUGGGCUACACACGUGCUACAAUGGCGUAUACAACGAGUUGCCAACCCGCGAGGGUGAGCUAAUCUCUUAAAGUACGUCUCAGUUCGGAUUGUAGGCUGCAACUCGCCUACAUGAAGUCGGAAUCGCUAGUAAUCGCGGAUCAGCACGCCGCGGUGAAUACGUUCCCGGGUCUUGUACACACCGCCCGUCACACCAUGAGAGUUUGUAACACCCAAAGCCGGUGGGGUAACCUUCGGGAGCCAGCCGUCUAAGGUGGGACAGAUGAUUAGGGUG